rnacentral:lncRNA from 1 species
UGGGGAUGGGUAGAUUAUCUAAAAUGGUAAGUCCUUCCUACUGCAGGGGAAGUAAGCAGCCCCAGGCCUGGGACUUGAAGAAUGACUGAAGUUGAGCCUGUGUGGCCUGGAUGACGUACAAACGGGAAGCAGAGUGGACACCAGGAGGCAGGAGUCCUGUCACUCUUCUGUGGGCAGCCAUGGCCUCUGGCUCCAGGAUACCCUACAGAUGAGAAGCUCUGAGUCCUUCAUCUGUCUUUCAGUGUUUUGGAGCUCUGACUCUCAGGACAUCCUGUAAUGUAAGAGACAGAAUCCUUGUGAAACUCAAAGCCUCGAAGAAACUUGUGCAACAAAGGCUUGGACAACAGAGAAGUGAGCCGUGGUAGCAUGUUGGACAGCAGGGUGUACCAAGGAGAGAAGUUCAAGCAAGAAGGAAAGCUAGAGAGGUGGGAGGGAGGAGCACUGGCCUGUGGACAGAUGGGGAAGUUCUCUCCUGCAUACUCCCUGAGGCUAGGUCUGCUCCUAUUCCAGGAGUCGUGUCUGUCUAAUGGCAAUGUCCCCCUCUUCUCCCGGAUCCGCACAAAGCUCUGGAUCCUUGGUCAGCAGCUCUUGAAGCUCCUCUGACUCCUUGUUUCCUCCCUAGAGUUCUCUAUGCCCCUUUGAAGGUCCUUGCUCCCAGCUUCUGCUGUGUAUGAUCCCUGCACAUUGUAUAUCCUCAGUACCACACCUCAGACAUUUCUUUGCUUCCUUCAUGGUCUCAUCUAGGCCUCCACCCUCCUAUAUGGCAUUGCCAAACCUCUAGAGUCAGCAUUAAAUCAUGCAUUAAGCUGGCCUCUUAUUCUGGUGAAGCCAUCCCAGAGCUGGAGGUCUUUCCCAGGACUUGGAGGCCGAAUCCCUAGAGCCAAUGACCACUAGAGCAUCUCUGUCAUAUGCAAACAAGCCAAUCCUUAGUCCAUAGUCCCAGCUACCUCCUCAGUGAGCUCUCAUUCAGGGCCCCAGAGCCCUCUGAAAUGAUGGAGACUCCCAAUCAUCUCACCAAUCAGUCCCCAUAGACACUACCUCCUCUGCCUCUGAGCCAGCUGAGGCUCCCCCAUGGGCCUUCCUCUGUGUGACUCACCUCCCCAGGAGAAUGACGAAUACAAAGUCAUCUUUCCAGCAG